GCUUCACCGCUCAGUUGGUUGGAGCACUACACCGGCAUCGGUAGUGGUCAUGGGUUCGAAUCCCGUUGAAAACA
rnacentral:tRNA from 1 species